rnacentral:lncRNA from 1 species
GAAUGUUGGCCAAUAGAGAGAGGAGAUGCCACAAUGGAUAGCCUGCUGCAGUGCUGGGGAUGGGACUAGAGGACUGGAUUUGGAGGAGAAGAGGGAGAAUCAAGCUCUGAAGUUCACCUAUUUGCUUGCCUAGCCUACUUGCUUCUUCGACAGGCUUGCCUGGAGGGUUUCUAAAGAAUAUCUGCUGGAGUCAGAGAACUGGAUAAUAGAAUGUGUGAGGAGGCUGGUUGGAGGAGAAUAUCUUCUUGAUCUGUUGGAGAUGCAGGGCAGAACUGCAGUAGCUAUGUUUUUACCAUGUUCUGAUGAAACUAACUCUGUCUCUGAACAAACUUGGAUAGCAGCAGCAGCAACAACAACAACAAAGCAAAAUGGUUACCCUGUCCUAAAUCCUAUACAUGCAUUCCAAGAUCCCCUACAACUAGGACACCUUUGAUCAUCCUCAGGUAAAACAAUAUUACAGGCCAAUGUUAUUAUUAAAACCCAUACAUCAAUGAGCUUUACUCUGUUUUGACUAAGAAGAAACCACACAUCCUUCACCUUUUAUUGAUUCAUUGCCAGGAAAGGAAAUGCUGCCGUUGAGCCCUACAAGGAAGAUCUUUGAAGAACCGGGACCCUCAGAGUCAUUUAUGAAUCAACUUUUAUCAUUCAUUCAAUAUAUUUAUGUAUGAAAAAUCGAUUGGUGGGCAGCUGGACACUUGAUUCUGGUUACAUCCUUCUGUGCAUAUUCUUAAAAGAAGAGCCAAGAAACUAUUAUGAUAAAAACCAGUGGUAUGAUACAGGUAUUCCCCAAAGCCUGGCUUGGGCAUGGUUUCCCAGACAUGAGAUUCUCUGUAUACUCAUUUACUGAAGCUCCCUGUUCGGCUGCUUUCUGUACUCACACUGUCUGCUCGGCAAGCACAGAGGCCAUUUCUUUAUCUCUUUUCUACCUACCUAAUCCAAGAAGCUACCAGGAUUUACAGCUUUCAUUCCCUGUGGCUCUUCUCUUCCAGGCCAAUAAAAUUGUCCUUUAACUUCC